UAUUUGUUUUUGAAUUUGAUUUUUUGUUUUGAUUUCUUGGUUCUUCACUUUUUUUAUUUUUCUAAAUUUCUAUUUUUUGUUCUAAUAUGAUAUUUGGUUUAGUGAUUUUUUUCUAAACUUCUUGACAUUUGGUUCUAUUCUGCUGCAGCUGUGGUAGUGCUCAACUACUGCUUUGCCUGCUCUGUUAUUCUAGUUUUUCUACAUUAACUAUCAGUAGAUUAAUUUUUUCAUACUUUAAGCAUUCACGGUUAGGGUUUUGAUUUUGUUUAAUUUUUGUUGAUUGAUAUUGAUGGUUUGAGUUAAUUGUUCCUUUGCUAUGUGUGUGGUUUAAGAUCUGAGUUGUUGUACGUUUUUAUGAAAGAGGACUAAAACUUGUUAAAUGAAGUAAACUUUGUGUUUAGAUUUGUUCUUGCCCCAAGAAACUCUGCUUGUUGAAUGCGCACAAAAUUCUUAGGCAAGCUGCUGAAAUUUUUGAAGGAAUAGGAAUAAUUAAUAUUGCAACUCAAUGUUUUUCAGAUUUGGGGGAUCAUGAAAAAGCUGGUAGAAAUUUGAAGUUUAGCAUCUAUAUCUAUGUUUGUCAUCUGUUAUUAGUUACUUUCUCAACAUUUUUUCCUCUUCUCUUUUUCUCAACUCUUUUCUUGUAACAAGUAACAACCAACAAUGGCUUCAAUGGCAGCGUCUUCUUCUAGCACCUUCUAUACCAACCUCAAGUUUUGCACCAAACCCAACAAUAACAAAGCUUUUUCUUUGUCACAAGAAUAAUAAUAAUAAUCAUAUAUCAUGAAGACAACAUCAAUAACAACAUCAACAUCAACUUGAACUGAAGGGAACUCAUUGAGAAGCAGUAAAAUUGCAAUCAUUGGUGCUAUCUUCAAUUUCAAUCCAUCAUGCAGGCGUAAUUUGAUGAAUUUGAUUAUAAACCAGGUCCUGUGCUAGAAAGGCAGCUUGUGCCCUGGGUUUGUUAUGCACCCAAGUGAGGUUAAGUAGCUGGUUUUGGUCAAAGAAUAUGCUGGAUUUAUUGUGGAGUAUAUAAAUGGCAAUAAUUUGACAUACAGAAGGAAAUGGUAGAGAGUGAAUUUGAUUCUGACAAGGGCAACUUUGCUAGGAUCACUGGUGGCAACAGUGGAAGAGUAGGUUCUGUCUUUGGCAGAGAGCCUUCAUUUUCACGCUGGUGUGAUGAGGACGAAGAAGUCCACUUGAAUCGGGAAUUAGGAAAUACAAGGAAUGAUCUUGUGGAUGAAGACCCUGGUUUUGAAUUAUCGUUUCAUCAGGAGCUACAAAGAGGACCUUUAGAAAGGGAGAGACUGUUUCACCUAAAGUUUUAGCAUAGCAUUUGUAUGGUGCUAGUAACAUGGAUGAAGAUUCAAUUUAUUGGAGAGUAAAUGCAUCUGAGAAGCAUGGGCCUUUUGUUAUUGAGAACAGGCCUACAUGGGGACUGACUCAUGUUGACUCUUCCAUGUACUUGGAAGAUCAUGGAUCUUUGGCGAAAAGCUCCCGCAAUCCUAUUACUGUGGGAUAUAUUUUAAAGACCUUUUUUUCAUUCUUAUUUGGUACACAUUCAGUCUAUGUUUGACCCUGUACAAUAAAACUCUAUUAGGAGCUGAUAUGGGGAAGUUCCCAACUCCUUAUAUGAUGAAUACUUUCCACUUCAUAAUGCAAGGUGUCUUAUCAAGGAUUAUCAUCUGGUGCUGGUCUCAUAAAUUUCAAACUGGUGUUGUCAUGUCUUGGAGGGAUUACUUUUUGAAAGUGUGCUAAGUUAUGAUUGCCAGUGUUCUCAUUAUCAGUGGGUGAAAUGGGAACUAUGAUUACCUUUGGUACAAGAGAGUCUUGUGAAUUCUUCCAUGAUCGUAUGAAGGGCAAAAGUGCAGUGAUGAAGGUAAAGUCAGAAAAAUUUUGAAGGUGGAACAUAACUUUUACUCUUUGGGAUCAAGACAAAGAAGGGGCCCCAUGCAUGCAUACAUGAUAUGAUCACUGAACAGACUCAAUUGCAUUGCAAAAAAGAAUAAAAAAGGCCAUACAACAUGUCCUAUAUAUAUGCUUGAGUAAAGACAAGUGAAAGAAAAGCAAAUAUAUCACUGAAGAUGCAGCAGGAGCACACAGUGGAUGGUAUCAACUAUUCACCUAACUUCUCAUCAUUCUCAAGCUUUAUAGUUUAUAUAUACACUCUGAGCUACAGAAGUGUUAUUGUUCAUCUUUCCUUUACUUUAUUUUGGAGUAGUGUGUAAAAAUGUAACUCAACUAUGUUACAUACAAGAAAUAUGGUUAUUAAUGUAUAGUAAAAAUUGUCAUCUUUUGUAUUUGUUAAUUGACAUGCAAGCUAAGCAUGGGGCAACAGUACAAUCACCAAUUAGUUGGUUAGUAGUUCAUAAUUAUUAUAUGUAAUUUA